GCCCGGGUGGUGGAACUGGUAGACACAAGGGACUUAAAAUCCCUCGCUCAGAGAUGGGCGUGCCGGUUCGAUUCCGGCCCCGGGCACCA
rnacentral:tRNA from 1 species